CAGAGGAACGCAGGGAAAUGGAAACCAAAUUUCUCAUGCAUGAGCCAUUCCCUUGCAGAAGAGGACACAGCCUUUCCCCACACCUUCAGAAGGGAAACAGGAACAGCCCUGAAGGAUGAUGGAGGAGGGAAAGCAAAUUCCAAGGCCCAGGAGUGAGCUAGCACAGGAAGGAAUUCUGAGACUGCCUGUGUACAGCCCCUGCUCUGCAGCCUGGACUUUCAGUCUGUUGUUCAGACUCCAGGUAUGGAGCUCUUGGACACAGCAGCAAAUAAAAAGUUCUUUUCACUGCC